rnacentral:rRNA from 1 species
UCCCGAGUGAAGCGGGUAAAAGCUCAAAUUUGAAAUCUGGUACUUUCAGUGCCCGAGUUGUAAUUUGUAGAAUUUGUCUUUGAUUAGGUCCUUGUCUAUGUUCCUUGGAACAGGACGUCAUAGAGGGUGAGAAUCCCGUUUGGCGAGGAUACCUUUUCUCUGUAAGACUUUUUCGAAGAGUCGAGUUGUUUGGGAAUGCAGCUCAAAGUGGGUGGUAAAUUCCAUCUAAAGCUAAAUAUUGGCGAGAGACCGAUAGCGAACAAGUACAGUGAUGGAAAGAUGAAAAGAACUUUGAAAAGAGAGUGAAAAAGUACGUGAAAUUGUUGAAAGGGAAGGGCAUUUGAUCAGACAUGGUGGUUUUUGCAUGCACGCGCCUCUCCUGGGCGGGGGCCUCUCAAAAAUUUGUUUGGGCCACCAUUAUUGCAGGCGGCAGGAUCAAUCAUAAAGAAUGUACUUCCUUCGG